UUGAAAUGUUAUAUGCAAUUAAUCAUAACGCGGCGAAAUACUAUCAAUAUAUCGAUAAAAUAACCAUGGAAUAACAACAUGGGAAUUGUUGAAUCCAUAAAUUAAAAUCGACGUCUAAAAAUAACGAUAAAAGAAUAACAACAAAAGUCGAAAAAUGAGAAUAAAAUAGAAUCAAAAGGGUUAAUACUAAAAUAGAACCUAAAUUAAUCAAGGAUGAAAUUUAUGAUCCUAUAAUAAACCAAAAGUGUUUAUUAAUAUAUAUAGUGAAUAAACUAAAAUAAGAUGGGGCAACUAAAGCGCAACCCAGGGUAUUGAACCGUGACCCUGGAAAUGCAAUCUUAAGCUUUACCACUCGACCAGGAUCACCUUGUUGUUAACUUAAUGCAACCAGCGAUAUACAUACAAUCGGACUGCGUUGAAAACAAUAAAAAACAAACAGAAACCAGAAGCUCAGUAGCAGCAGCAUAAACCAGAAUCAUCCUAGCUACACCAUAACCUCAAGGGUCAACAAACCAAGAUAUUAUUCUUAUAUUACAACAGUGUUAUAAUUUUAUUACAUCAAAAUCAACAUAAUAAAAAUGAGAAAAUAACAAAAAUAAAAUAAAUAAAACAAACGACUUAUAAAAAAAGAGAAACAAAUAAAUAAAUAAAAGAAUGCACCGUGUGGUGUAAAAAACAAACUAAAUGGACUUCAAACAAUUGUUAGAAACAAGCCGAACAACAAAAAUAGUACUAUUUUUUUUAUCUUUCCUAUUUUAAUUAAAACUAACACUAAUUAAAAUGAAUAAUAAAAAUAAUAAUAAAAAUAAAAAGUAAAUAAACAAAAUGAUGCUGGUCAUGGACGACGCUCCAUUCUCACGUUCCCUCACAUCUGUUUUUUUGAAAUUUCUAGCAAGGCCAAAUAGGUAGUGACACGUGGCCAUGGAAUUAAGAAAAGAAAUUAAAAAAAAAACUACAACCUUCUCUUGUCAUCUAUCUCUCACAUAAACUACAGCAAACAGAGAAUUUGUUUCUCACAAUCUCAUGUUAUCUCUCUUUGCUCUCUCUUAUAUUUCCAAACAACAAAACAACAACAUGGUCCGUAUCUCUCAAAUGAAAACAAAUAGAAACACACCAAAAAUAUAGCAUGGAAAAAUCAUAAGAAAACCGAAAUAAGAUAUAUACCGUUCACUAGCUUCUGGUGAGUUUUGAGUUUGCAACGACGAUGUGUAUAGCAGUGAAAAGUGAAGAAAUCGUAGUUGUCGGUACUACUACUACGGGGUUUUCAGCUUUGACGGUUGAGCUUGGAUCUUGGGUUGUGCAUAAGAAGUUGAUGCGUGGAGCCUUCUUCGAAAGCGUCACCGGAAUGGCUUGGCGGUGGUUUCGCGGUUGUUCAAGGAGGAAUAUUUGAGGGGUUAUUUGGUGAAGGAAGGUAGAGGGAUGUCGCGCGUUGGAAGGCUCUCACUGAUGAAGAAAAACAGAGGUUGUGUGAUGCUGGUUUUGGGUUUUUGGAGGUUGCGGAUAUGGAAAGGGUACCGUUCCAAAACGAGAGUGAAAGGAGAUUAUCGUGGGUUUUUUUUCUUUUUGCAGUGGAAAUAAAGUGUUUUCUUAUGAAGAGGAAGAAAUCCUCUUUUUUGAAAAAACAAUGAGGCCUUUUUCUUUUAAUUUUGUGGUCCCUUUUUUUUAAUGAAAAUUUUUCACUGUCCUCCUGCCACGCAGAAAGAGACGUUGAGAGUCCUUAGUAGAGGACAAGACGUGCCAUAGUUGUCCAUGAAAACGAAUGACGUGUUUCCACUCACAUCUUCCAACCGAUUCAAAUAUUAAUGGCCACAUAGCACAUGAAGAGUGGAGGAGUAAAUAUAUUUUCAAUUUUUUUUAUCUUUCUUUGAUAAAAUAAAUUAAAUGAGCAUAACUUUAAAAAUUAAUAUAAAAAAAACGACACAAU
rnacentral:lncRNA from 1 species